UACGUAGGGGGCGAGCGUUGUCCGGAUUUAUUGGGCGUAAAGCGCGUGUAGGCGGCCUGACAAGUCUGCUGUGAAAACUCGAGGCUCAACCUCGAGAUGUCGGCGGAAACUGUCUGGCUAGAGUCCGGAAGAGGAGAGUGGAAUUCCUGGUGUAGCGGUGAAAUGCGCAGAUAUCAGGAAGAACACCUAUGGCGAAGGCAGCUCUCUGGGACGGUACUGACGCUGAGACGCGAAAGCGUGGGGAGCGAACAGG
rnacentral:rRNA from 1 species